UACACUCCUACGGGAGGCAGCAGUGGGGAAUAUUGGACAAUGGGCGCAAGCCUGAUCCAGCCAUGCCGCGUGAGUGAUGAAGGCCCUAGGGUUGUAAAGCUCUUUCACCGGUGAAGAUAAUGACGGUAACCGGAGAAGAAGCCCCGGCUAACUUCGUGCCAGCAGCCGCGGUAAUACGAAGGGGGCUAGCGUUGUUCGGAUUUACUGGGCGUAAAGCGCACGUAGGCGGACUAUUAAGUCAGGGGUGAAAUCCCGGGGCUCAACCCCGGAACUGCCUUUGAUACUGGUAGUCUUGAGUUCGAGAGAGGUGAGUGGAAUUCCGAGUGUAGAGGUGAAAUUCGUAGAUAUUCGGAGGAACACCAGUGGCGAAGGCGGCUCACUGGCUCGAUACUGACGCUGAGGUGCGAAAGCGUGGGGAGCAAACAGGAUUAGAUACCCUUGUAGUCCCAUG
rnacentral:rRNA from 1 species